GAUGAACGCUGGCGGCGUGCCUAAUACAUGCAAGUCGAGCGAACGGACGAGAAGCUUGCUUUUCUGAUGUUAGCGGCGGACGGGUGAGUAACACGUGGAUAACCUACCUAUAAGACUGGGAUAACUUCGGGAAACCGGAGCUAAUACCGGAUAAUAUUUUGAACCGCAUGGUGCAAAAGUGAAAGACGGUCUUGCUGUCACUUAUAGAUGGAUCCGCGCUGCAUUAGCUAGUUGGUAAGGUAACGGCUUACCAAGGCAACGAUGCAUAGCCGACCUGAGAGGGUGAUCGGCCACACUGGAACUGAGACACGGUCCAGACUCCUACGGUAGGCAGCAGUAGGGACUCUUCCGCAAUGGGCGAAAGCCUGACGGAGCAACGCCGCGUGAGUGAUGAAGGUCUUCGGAUCGUAAAACUCUGUUAUUAGGGAAGAACAUAUGUGUAAGUAACUGUGCACAUCUUGACGGUACCUAAUCAGAAAGCCACGGCUAACUACGUG
rnacentral:rRNA from 1 species